rnacentral:rRNA from 1 species
UACGUAGGGGGCGAGCGUUGUCCGGAUUUAUUGGGCGUAAAGAGCGUGUAGGCGGCCUGGUAGGUCAGCUGUGAAAACUCGAGGCUCAACCUCGAGACGCCGGUUGAAACCAUCAGGCUAGAGUCCGGAAGAGGAGAGUGGAAUUCCCGGUGUAGCGGUGAAAUGCGCAGAUAUCGGGAAGAACACCCGUGGCUAAGGCGGCUCUCUAGUACGGUACUGACGCUGAGACGCGAAAGCGUGGGGAGCGAACAGG